rnacentral:rRNA from 1 species
UACGAAGGGGGCUAGCGUUGCUCGGAAUCACUGGGCGUAAAGGGCGCGUAGGUGGCGACCCAAGUCGAUGGUGAAAGCUCGCCGCUCAACGGCGAGUCGGCCACCGAUACUGGGUUGCUGGAGCACUGUAGAGGCAGAUGGAAUUCCGGGUGUAGCGGUGGAAUGCGUAGAGAUCCGGAGGAACACCAGUGGCGAAGGCGGCUCACUGGACCGGAACUGACGCUGAGGCGCGAAAGCGUGGGGAGCAAACAGG